UCAAGAGUAUUUAUUAGCGGGCUGGAGAGAUGGCUCAUCAGUAAGAGCACUGGCUGCUUUUCUAGAGGUCCAGAGUUAAAUUUCCAGCAACCACAUGG
rnacentral:miRNA from 14 species